ACGAAGCCGCCCUGACUGCCCAAUGGCCUUCGCUCUAAUAAAGAAGACUCCUCACUCCAGCAGCGAUCAGCCACUCCACUCCAGAUCGAAGGAAGCUUUGUUCUCAGAAGAAGAAAAGUUGCGUGAGCUAGCCAUGGCCUUCGCCGACACAGCAGCACGGAGGCUCCUGCGCGGCGCAGGUGGCGGUGUGGCUCGAGGAAUCGCCGCCGACGCCGUCGGCAUGAGCUUCGCCCUCGACGGAUUGUGGCAGAUCAUCGCGGGCCUGUUCGCGAGCGCGGCUCACCUGCUCGUCCUGCCGUUCGAGGUGCUCGGGCACUUGCUCGCCGCCGCGGCUCACCUGCUCGUCCUGCCUUUCGAGGCGCUCUGGCACUUGCUGCAGUCCGUCAUCGCCGGCGUUAGCUUUUGUUUCGACAGCCUCUUCGCCACGCUCGGGAGCGCGGCCCACGCUCUGGUGGUGCCGUUCGAGGCGCUCUGGCACUUGCUGCAGUCCGCUGCCGCGGGCGUUACCUUAUGCUUCGGAAACCUCGUUGCGGCGAUCGGGAGCGUGCCCCAUGCUCUGGCGGUGCCGUUCGAGGCGCUCUGGCACUUGCUGCAGUCCGCUGCCGCGGGCGUUACCUUAUGCUUCGGAAACCUCGUUGCGGCGAUAUCGGGAGCGUGCCCCAUGCUCUGGCGGUGCCGUUCGUGGCGCUCUGGCACUUGCUGCAGUCCGCCGCCGCGGGUAUCGGCUUCUGCUUCGGCAACCUCGUCGCCGCGCUCGGUAGCGCAGCCCACGCUCUAGUGGUGCCGUUCGAAUCGCUCUGGCAGUGGCUCCAGGCCGCGGCCGCCGGCGUCAGUUUCGGCUUCCACGGUCUGGGGCAGCUCAUACAUGGCUGCAUCGCCAACCUUCCCGCCGCGCUCGCCAGCGCGGCCCACGCACUGGUGCUGCCGUUUGAAGCUGUAUGGCAGUGGCUCCAGGCCGCGGCCGCCGGCGUCAGUUCCAACUUCGACGGCUUCUGGGAGCACAUGCAGGGCCUCUUCGCCAACCUUCCCGCCGCGCUCGCCAGCGCUGCCCACAACCUCGUCCUGCCGUUACAGGCCUUCUGGCGGUGGAUACAGAACACCGUCGCCGGCGGCUGGGACGGCUUUUGGCCGCUCAUCCAGCGCUUCGUCGCCACGGCCGCGAGCACGGCCCACGAGCUUGUCCCGGCCGUGGAGGCGUUGUGGCGGUGGCUCAAGGACGCCGCCGCCGUCGCGCUCCCCGUCGUGCUGGCCAUCGCCGCCGUCGUUUGCGUCGCGACCCUAGUCUGGUUCUGGUGGCGGGUCCUCGGCGUCGCGGCCUUCGUGGCCGGCGUGCUGGUCGCGCAAGCGCUCGUCCUGGCCGGAGUGCUGGUCGCACAAGCGCUCGUCUUGGUCAUCUGCAUCUGCGGGCGCUGCUUGUUCGUCGUCGCCAUGGGGGUCGGGGGUGCGCUCGCCUACCUACUCCCCAUCUGUGGGCAGUACUGCGCCAGCGUUACCAUGGCUGCACCAGAGGUCGCCGGCGUGCUGAUAUCACGCGCCGCGUUCAAGGCGGAACCGCGGAUGUACUUCCAGAUCCUCCAUUUGGCUGGCCCCCUCGUGGCCUCUGCUGUCUUCUCCACGAGCCCCCUCCCCUGGGCGGUCGGACUGUCGGUCGUCGCCCUUUUCAGCCGUGGAUUUUCAGGCGGCAAAGAGCCGAUGCCGAGGUGCAAAACCUUGUCGACGACUCCUGAGGAAGAUCAGAUCUGGAUUCACGAGGAUGAUCAGAUGUGGACUCCUGCAGAAGAUCAGCCUAUUAUCAUAGUAGAAUAACUUUUAUCCAUCGAGGGACGCCGUCGGAUCCAACUUUUGUCUCCGUUCCACAGGUGUGUCUUGUAGUAAAACCUCCUUUCUCCAUUUGCACUAGAGGACCAAUGUAUGCCCCUUUCGAUGUAAUUUGUGCGUACUUUAAUUUGUCUUGCUUGGCUGCUUGAUGUAUGUUUUCCAAAUCCAGUUUCCACGGAUCAUAUGCCAACUUAUGUCUUGACAA